rnacentral:piRNA from 1 species
UUAAGUGAUCCAUUUUAAAAUUUGUAAA